rnacentral:rRNA from 1 species
UACGUAGGGGGCAAGCGUUGUCCGGAUUUACUGGGCGUAAAGCGCGUGUAGGCGGUUGAGUUAGUCUGCUGUGAAAUCUCCGGGCUUAACCUGGAGGGGUCGGUGGAAACUGCUCGACUUGAGGACGGUAGAGGGGGGUGGAAUCCCCGGUGUAGUGGUGAAAUGCGUAGAGAUCGGGAGGAACACCAGCGGCGAAGGCGGCCCCCUGGGCCGCUCCUGACGCUGAUACGCGAAGGCCAGGGUAGCGAACGGG